rnacentral:rRNA from 1 species
GAUGAACGCUGGCGGCGUGCCUAAUACAUGCAAGUCGAGCGAACAGACGAGGAGCUUGCUCCUCUGACGUUAGCGGCGGACGGGUGAGUAACACGUGGAUAACCUUCCUAUAAGACUGGGAUAACUUCGGGAAACCGGAGCUAAUACCGGAUAAUAUAUUGAACCGCAUGGUUCAAUAGUUAAAGACGGUUUUGCUGUCACUUAUAGAUGGAUCCGCGCCGCAUUAGCUAGUUGGUAAGGUAACGGCUUACCAAGGCAACGAUGCGUAGCCGACCUGAGAGGGUGAUCGGCCACACUGGAACUGAGACACGGUCCAGACUCCUACGGGAGGCAGCAGUAGGGAAUCUUCCGCAAUGGGCGAAAGCCUGACGGAGCAACGCCGCGUGAGUGAUGAAGGUCUUCGGAUCGUAAAACUCUGUUAUUAGGGAAGAACAAAUGUGUAAGUAACUAUGCACGUCUUGACGGUACCUAAUCAGAAAGCCACGGCUAACUACGUG